UAGUAACCUUGUUACUUAAUUAGGUGAAUUUUGGUAGUAUGUUUUAAUGUGUAAUUAUUAAUUGGUAUGUUUUAAUGUGUAAUUUUAGGUUGUUUUAUAUAGUUCUUGACAAAAUUACUAACUUUUAUUUUGUUGUUUUAUUUUUUUAUUUUUGUAGAUUCAUAUGUAGUGAAGCACAAGUUUAUUAGCUAUUCAAGUGGGAAGUUCGAGACAUUACAUCCAUUAUACUUGCUAUAUUGCUCGAUCAACAAAGAAGUACCUCGUGAUGUCUGUACUACAAAAUAUUAUGAAGAAGAUACAUGGUCGUGCUCCACGGGGUCCUACAUGGAAAUCACCUAUGUGCCCACAACAAGAUAAUGGAGUUGAUUGUGGAUUAUACGUGAUGAGAUUCAUGCUUGA